rnacentral:rRNA from 1 species
AGUGAACGCUGGCGGUAGGCCUAACACAUGCAAGUCGAACGACAGCACAGAGGAGCUUGCUCCUUGGGUGGCGAGUGGCGGACGGGUGAGGAAUACAUCGGAAUCUACUCUGUCGUGGGGGAUAACGUAGGGAAACUUACGCUAAUACCGCAUACGACCUACGGGUGAAAGCAGGGGACCUUCGGGCCUUGCGCGAUUGAAUGAGCCGAUGUCGGAUUAGCUAGUUGGCGGGGUAAAGGCCCACCAAGGCGACGACCCGUAGCUGGUCUGAGAGGAUGAUCAGCCACACUGGAACUGAGACACGGUCCAGACUCCUACGGGAGGCAGCAGUGGGGAAUAUUGGACAAUGGGCGCAAGCCUGAUUCAGCCAUACCGCGUGGGUGAAGAAGGCCUUCGGGUUGUAAAGCCCUUUUGUUGGGAAAGAAAUCCAGCUGGCUAAUACCCGGUUGGGAUGACGGUACCCAAAGAAUAAGCACCGGCUAACUUCGUGCCAGCCGCCGCCGUAA